UUGACCGUGCAAGGUAGCGCAAUCACUUGUCUUUUAAAUGAAGACCUGUAUGAAUGGCAUCACGAGGGCUUAACUGUCUCCUUUUUCCAGUCAAUGAAAUUGAUCUCCCCGUGCAGAAGCGGGGAUAGGCCCAUAAGACGAGAAGACCCUGUGGAGCUUUAGACAAGAGUGCGAACCAUGUCAAUAACCUCUAAACAAAGAGAAAAACCUAUUGGACCCCGCACUAAUGUCUUUGGUUGGGGCGACCGCGGGGGAGAGAGCAUCCCCCAUGUGGAAUAGAAGCACCGCUUCUACAACCGAGAGCUGCAGCUCUAAGCAACAGAAAUUCUGACCCUCAUGAUCCGGCAGCGCCGAUCAACGGAACGAGUUACCCCAGGGAUAACAGCGCAAUCCUCUUUUAGAGCCCAUAUCGACAAGGGGGUUUACGACCUCGAUGUUGGAUCAGGACAUCCUAAUGGUGCAGCCGCUAUUAAGGGUUCGUUUGUUCAACGAUUAAAGUCCUACGUGAUCUA
rnacentral:rRNA from 1 species